UUCUUUUCUGUCUAUGUCCUAGUUUCCUAUAGUUUAAAAGUAUGGUAUUUAGGGUUGGAGGCAGUAAGAUCAUAGUGGAAGCUAUGAGAUUGGUUGAUCUAGAAAAGAGUGAGGAAUGAGUGACUUCAUGAACCCUUACUCACAACUACAAGUAGAUUGAUCCAUAGAUACUCAGAAUCUUUCCAGCAAGGAUGGGCAAGGCCUGGUACCAUCAGAAUGGUAGAGACUGUUCUCUGUCACAUGUUAAGCUAAUGGAGAGCUAACCAGGAGAUGGGCAGAGGAAUCCCUAUGACAUCAAUCACAAUCACAGGUUCUCCUCUAGGACUUUGUCAUCUCAGAAACAUGGGCCAAAUGCUGCUGGGAAGAAGGAGGUGGGAAGGAUUUGGCCCCAGCCAUGUGCACUGGUGGAAUGGGGGCCGGCAGGGCCUGUGAUCAAGCAUGGUGUCAUCGUGCCUUUUCAGAGGAAGGCUCCUAAGCCUCUUCCCCAUGGGGAUUGCAUCAGCUGAGGAGGCUGCUCAUUCUCGGCAGAAACCACUCCCCCAC